GGACGAACGCUGGCGGCGUGCCUAAUACAUGCAAGUCGAGCGGACCGAAUAGAAGCUUGCUUCUAUUUGGUUAGCGGCGGACGGGUGAGUAACACGUGGGCAACCUGCCCUGUAGACGGGGAUAACACCGAGAAAUCGGUGCUAAUACCGGAUAAUACGGAAUGUCGCAUGACGUUUCGUUGAAAGGCGGCGCAAGCUGUCGCUACAGGAUGGGCCCGCGGCGCAUUAGCUAGUUGGUGAGGUAACGGCUCACCAAGGCGACGAUGCGUAGGCCGACCUGAGAGGGUGAUCGGCCACACUGGGACUGAAGACACGGCCCAGAACUCCUACGGGAGGCAGCAGUAGGGAAUCUUCCGCAAUGGACGAAAAGUCUGACGGAGCAACGCCGCGUGAGCGAAAAGCCUUCGGUCGUAAAGCUCUGUUGUUAGGGAAGAACAAGUACGCAGUAACUGGCGUUACUUUGACGGUACCUAACGAGGAAGCCACGGCUAACUACGUGCCAGCAGCCGCGGUAAUACGUAGUGGCAAGCGUU
rnacentral:rRNA from 1 species